AUUGCUUCUCGGCCUUUUGGCUAAGAUCAAGUGUAGUAUCUGGAGUGCAAGCCUGACUAACCUGAGUUUGAAUUCAAGACUACAUUAAGUAACUAAUCUUUGCAAAUGUCUAUGGUAAGUAUUUGUAGACCAGGAACUCAUUCUAUUAGAUUAGUGGGAGCCAUCACCAAUCACCCAUCUCUGGAUAUCCUCU